rnacentral:lncRNA from 1 species
UUUUUUUUUGUCAGACCACCAGUUGACAAGUAAAACAUCAAACAAAACCAGAAAUUUUUCUUAUCUGUCCAUUGUCUAGAAUGUACUGAUCUUUGUUGCGACAAUACAUCUCUAGCAGAGCAAUUACCAAUAUUAAAUUAUUAUUCAACCCCUUAUCCUUCCCAUGCUUGGACUGACUGAAAUAAUAUUGCACUCUUAAAAAUAGCUUCUAUAUUAGAUUACAUUGAAAGCAUCCAGUAGAGUGUCCUCUGAUUAUGUUAUAAAUUCUGAGAUCAUUUUAUGUAUAAGCAAUGAUGUUAUUCAUAGGCGUAGCAUACAGAGUAAAAGAAAAGCAUGUUAGUGAAGUAGAAACGAGUAAAGGUAUUGGAGUAGCUUUAUAGACUGAUAAUGUCUUCAUAGCACAAUCCAUUUAAAGUGUUGUAGUCAAUGCUCCCAUUGCAUCAGUCAAAUGUGUAUGAUAACUAUUAUUCUAUGCAGCUAACUAAAUAUAUUACAAUUUUAUUGUCUAGCAAGGAAUCUAUGGUUUACGUCUAGUACCUAUAAAUCCAAAACCAGGGCUAAAUUCUGUGAAAAUGAAAUUGCAUGAGAUUCACCCAGCUAAUAUUGAAAGAACUGUGUUCAAGGAACUUUAUCUGUGCAGCAUGCUGAGAAGUCUUGAAUGCCAUUGUUAUCACUGCAGAUAAACAUGAUCAGUACUGACUACAGUACUGACUUGGUAAUUAACAUCAAUGAAACAACAUGACAUUCUCAAAGAGGAAUAAGCCAUGAUAACUUUAUAUAAAUACACUGAAAUAUUUUUGGAAUGUUGAUUUCUUAAGAAAACUGGAAAACAGUCUGAAAAUGAACAGCUGGAUUUUUUUUUUUUUAAUUUUUAUAUUUAGCACUGAGUUACAAGUAGUAACCAUAAUUCCCUUACUCUAUGCCCUCUUCUUAAGGACAUGUGCUGCAAGUGCAUAUGCUUGUCAGAAGUGCUCAGGAGCAAAAUUGUCUGGCCUCUGGUUAGCAGAAUGGUUUCUCUUGCAGCUUUUAGGCAGUUAUAAAUUAUGACACCAGAUAAGUGUCCAUGGACAGCUCAGUUGGUGGCUUAUGGUUACAUCUCCCUUCUCUCCAUUGCACUGAAUAUGAUAUUAAAAUAGUUUAAAUCCUUAUCAUUUUCUGUCCUGUUUCCCCUAGUGAUAACAGAUACAUUCCUUAAUUCUAGAAUAGGGCCUGGGUAUUUUUUUCCUGUGCUUGUCUUGUAUCUGUGAUAACAAAAUUCUUUCCGAUAACUAUAUUUUCUGGGUGUUAAUACUUCUGUUAACUUCUGUCAUAGCCUCAUCCAGUGUUUUACGGCAUGUAAAGCAUGAAAGCUACAGGGCUAUAACGUGUGUGUCACAUGAGACUUGAAGGCUUUCUGUGAUCUUUCUGAAAGUGCUGCAUGUUUCAAUAACAAUGUGUUGCUGCUUAGCUUUCCAAAGACAUCUGGCAGGAGCAGAGACAACACUAAUUAAAUGAACAAAACAAAACAAAAACAAACAACAACAACAACAACAAAACACCUCUGUGCAAUAUGUAGAUAUGUAUAGUGUGUAAUUGACUCCCUGUCCCUCUCAAGCUAGGAUGAGUUCCCCUCCUCUUCUGUCUUAAUUAAACGUCUCAGAUCUACUGUACUCACAACGUGGGCAACAGUAUCAGCUUGCCUAUACUUCUGCUUGCCCUUGCCUUUCUUCACGAGUCCACAGCAGAGCUACCUCCUAUCCAAUUCCUCUCUUUUAAAUCAGCUGACAGUCACAGCUGAAGAGGUAAGAGGUAAUGAUCUUUGGACAGCUAAGAAAAAACAUGACCUAUCAGAAGAUAAGUACAUUCUAGAAAUGAAGCGUGUAAUAGAGAAAAACUGCAGAUCACGCUGCUCAGAAUCAAGAGUGCUGUGCUCCUGGGCAGAGCAGAAUAAGGUUGCUAUUCUUAUAAAGAUGAUUAAUGUGGACUUAGAAAAGGAGGAUCAUGCCUCACAAAUCUGAUAUCCCCUCCUUAGGAGAGAAAAAGUCAAGUAAGCCACAGCAGAGAAGCUAUUGACAUAAUUAACCAAGACCAGGGGAAAGCUUUCAUACAGCAAUAUACUAAGGACUUAACCCCAAAACCAAGAUGUAAGGUAGAUAGACAGCUUAAGUGGAUAAGGAGGUAGUUGCAGGUCCAAAGACAGAACAGUGCAAGGCAGGACCGCAAAGCCUAGAAAUGGAUUAGUGUGGGAUUGGACGUAAAGGAGAACAGUGAGAGACAGCUGCGGGAAGAUAACUUUGAUUGUUAUGUUUGGUCACAGACAACAGCCUCAAGGUGGCCAAGACAAGUACGCUGCUUCCCAGUUCAUUUGGACUCACUUGUAUCUCAUGACAAAGCAACUUUUAUAAACACUGUGAAAAAAAUACAUGCUUUGAACAUUAGAAAUAUUUAAAAGCAGAGGAACCAUAAUAAUCGACUUGAUUAUAUAUGUUAUGGAUGCUGAAAAUCAUCUAUCUUUCAGGACCUUGAAUAAUUUCUUUCUCUUAGUGUCCCUAGGGCAAUCCUGACUGCUGAGAAGCAAUGCAGUGCCAGUGUUACGUGUAAGAACCUGAGGCACACGGAAGGUAUGCCUCAGUUGUCUCGUGCCUCUAGCUCACUCCAAACAACCUCAAACUGUCACCGGAGGCACUUCUUUAAAGCCCGCCGUUUUCCUAAAGCUGUGGUGUUGGACAUGAUUCUUGACUACUCCAGAGGGCCACCUUUCUGUGCUCACUGUUUUCCAGGCCAAGAUCAUGAAGAGUUUCUCCUACCAUGGUUAAAAUGAUCUGUGUUAGAAAAAAAAUAACCAUUACAAAUACGUAUGAUAACAUUUAGUUGUAAACAGGCAACAACAGGCUGUUACACAAACAAAUCUCAGGAGGGCAUAAUCCCCAAAGGGUAACAAGCAGUUCGAGGUGGUAUUUUGGCUGCAAACAGUAUGCCUGAUUUCAGCGCUAGUAAACUACAAAGUACACCCUGGCAGUACGUUCGCAAGGCCCCUGGAUGGCCAGGAGGCAGCUGGAUAGGAGGGCUCACUGUAUUAAUAAGCACUCUAAAUGCCUGUUAUCAAAAUCUUAAGAGAUAAAUAACUUUCUUACAGAGGGUGUUGUGGCAAAGGAUGUGGCUGCAAUUAGAAUUCUUGAUCAAAGAUUCUUCUUCUCUUUCUAAUCCCAUUCCCAUUUGAUUGCUUUGAUUUUCUUUGUAAUAUUUCUCAAUAACUACUUGGACUUUGCAACACUGAUCCUUCAGUGGAUACAACCAUAUGAAUAGGUCUGAUGAAAUCAGUGAAAUUAUUUACAGCCUUAUUCAGCAAAUACUGAAUGGCAUAUCCAAUUACCUCUGUGCAAAUCUAAAGUAGGUAGUGAACUAUUUUUGUAAAUUGGCAGUUAUCUCCAUGAAACUAAGUACAUACAUAUUUCUUUACAAGAUAGGGAUUUGAAGCAAGUUUACAGACAGUCAGAUACAGAAAUACUGAGAUAUGAAUGACACCAUCAUGGCAAAAUCUGUAUUACCUGAAGAUAAUUUUGAUGCAUUGUAACUCUAAAGAUGAUUGGUUGCAGCUGUUGAUGCAAGGGUCUGAAAUGUCAUCUACAUGGUAUGUGUAAAUUACAGUGGACACGUAUGAUCUUGUUUAAACAGUACUGCAGAUAAUAUCAGUUUAUAUAUGAAGUACAAAUGAUACAGCACAUUGCCUGACUUCCAUGUGUACCUCUGGAGUCUAAUAAAACCUCCAGGUAUGGUGGAAGGUUAACA